rnacentral:rRNA from 1 species
UACGUAGGGUGCGAGCGUUGUCCGGAAUUAUUGGGCGUAAAGGGCUCGUAGGCGGUCUGUUGCGUCAGGAGUGAAAACUCGGGGCUUAACCCCGAGCCUGCUUCUGAUACGGGCAGACUAGAGUGUGGUAGGGGAGACUGGAAUUCCUGGUGUAGCGGUGAAAUGCGCAGAUAUCAGGAGGAACACCGAUGGCGAAGGCAGGUCUCUGGGCCACUACUGACGCUGAGAAGCGAAAGCGUGGGGAGCGAACAGG